rnacentral:rRNA from 1 species
UACGAGAGGUCCAAACGUUAUUCGGAAUUACUGGGCUUACAGAGUUCGUAGGCGGUCUGUCGCGUCGGCUGUGAAAACCCGGAGCUCAACUCCGGGCCUGCAGUCGAUACGGGCAAACUGGAGUGUUGGCAGGGGAGACUGGAAUUCCUGGUGUAGCGGUGAAAUGCGCAGAUAUCAGGAGGAACACCGGUGGCGAAGGCGGGUCUCUGGGCCGAUACUGACGCUGAGGAGCGAAAGCGUGGGGAGCGAACAGG